UCUGUUGAGAAAUUUGUAUGUGGACAACUACUAUAGUCCUGAAGAAGUGUGAUUUUAUUUAUGUCGUUCCUUCAUUAGGAAGUGUAGUCAUACUUUGAUAUGCAUGAGGAAUUCUUCUGGGAUAGCCUAUGGAUUCAAGAAGGAAGAGGGAAGCUACAUAGCCAAAUGUGUGCCUUAGAGAGGAUUCUGAUCUUAAUCACAUUAUGAAAAUGUGUUUGGGAAAAAGAGACAUGGAAGUAAGCAUGCCUGUAUGUCAGAUGGAUGGGACAGAGGUAGGAGAAAAAGGAAGAAGAAAGGGGAAGCAGGGAGAGCUUCAUAACAGAACAUCCUCAUUCAGAUAAAAUAAAGUAGACCAUUUGUCAUUAGGCAAUGACAUACAGACUUGGUGGUUGCCUGAAUAAGGAACCUGUGUGGCAAAGGUCACACCAGGAAUGACACUUGAAGCACAGUAUAACAAUAAGCUUAGGUUUGUCAGAAUACAAUGAGUUAACUGUUAGGUACGCAGAGUUACAUUAUACAAAACUGUAUUUAAGUAUAUCCCUCUAGGCGUCCACUGAUAUAUGAGUUUUAUGUGAAGGCUUCAUUCAAAAUAAGGAUGCAGGUUGAAGUAUGUUAAGUUUACUAGUAGAAGUGGGUGCAAUCACAAAAGAGAAGACUAGAAAAAGCAUUAAUACUAAUAGCAGACAGAAACAAGCCAAAUGAAUGUCUGUUGUAACUAUGAUUGGAAUAUCAUAAAUACAGUGUGGUCAUCCAUAUUUCUACAUUCUCCUCCUGCUAAGAAUUUUAGUCUGUGUUUCUAAUCAUAGAAAUAUUCAUUAAAUCUUGUACACCUAUAUUUAAGAGAAGCAAAGCCAAGAACUAAUGACAGAUUAAUGGUGAGCAGAAUUUAAGUGACCUGAAUGAAAAUUGAUUCUUGUUAUUUAAGAAAUAUUCAACAUAAUGUUUUAGUGCUAUAUAUUGUCAUAGACAGAUACAUAUAUUACUGGAUAAAGGGCAUGUGAGCAGUAUAUCCUUACAUGAAUAAUUCUUACCUAUAGGUGCUGUGGUGCUCAUUUCUCAGUCCAUUAAGUUCAAUUUAAUGCAUACAGAACAUGUCUAGAAUCAAUAGGACGUUAAAGGUUUCAUUUUCAAUUUAACUCAAAUGAAAAAAGAAAUAUGUGUACUACUUGAUAUUUCUAGCCCUUAAGCAACUUCAGCAACAGGCCCCACAGGAAGCAUGAGGCCAAGGUUAAAGUCUUGUAAGUCAAGAUGCUAUGAUACCCAAAGAACUAAUUCUCAUUGAAUUUUGUGUCUCUUGUGUUUGAUUGGCACAGCCGGAAUCUGGGAGCAGAAGUGGCACACUGCAGCUAAUUUAGGUUGCAGAUGGAGAAUUCUUGCCAUUAAAUUUUCCUGAACACUCACAAAACUCAAGGUUGAUGUGUUAGCUUCUUAGUCAUUUGAUGGUUUUUGUAUUGUUCACAAGAAGCAAACGAAUGUUAGGGGUUUUUGUUGUUGCUGUUGUUGUUCAAGAUAAAAAGCUAACAGGUGUAGGCAAUGUGGGUCCCAUUUCUGCUGACUUAGGAAGUACACUCUACUCUGUCUACUGCUGAAUUCUGCAUCUGUAGAUUCAUAUAACAAUAGGUAGAAAAAAUUAAAGUGUAUCUGUACCAAACAUAGACAGACAUUUUAUAAAUGCCAUCAUUCCUUAAAUAAUAAAUCAAUUAUGCAUAUACUAUUUACAUUGUGUUAAGUAUUGUAAGAGAUCUAGAAAUGACUUGGAACAUACAUAUUAGUACAAAGGACAGUCAUAGGUUGUAUGUAGGUAAAUUAUUUUAUGGAAGAAAUGUGAGCAUCUGCACUUGCUUUUAUCCAUAGGAGGUCCCAGAAAAAGUUUUCCUGCAUACGAAAGUAUAACUAUGCUUCCUAAAGAAGAAAUAGCAUGAGUAAAAUCCCACUUCUUCAUGACCAUAGAAGUUUUCCAUGUACAAGGGUAGCAGACCUUCACACUUUUGCCCAGAUGGCAGACUCUUACAUUGACCUUUGUUAGUGACAGGUGUGCAUAUCCCCAGCUAUGGACAUCAUCAAUCUGGUGCAGUCAUUUGCUGAAUGCAUCAUAUGAUUGUACAGUGGCUCAUAAUAUACACAUGUUUUCAAAUAGGAUACUUAAUUUAUAUUUAAGAACUCACUGCAUGGCAGAGCAAUGCUAUUAUUGCAUCAGGUUAUUGUAGGAAGUUUCAAGAGGUUAAACAGUUUGUACAAAAAUUACCUGUUCAGUAAACAGUAGAACUCAUCUCAAAGCUAAGUACCUUCCACCAUUUAAGCAAGUAUUAUGUUCAUGCCAUUCUGUGUGUCUUAUACAAAUAAACAAAAAUUACGGCAGUUGGAGGCUGAGGUUGAGGUUGUAGGCUGAGGUUGAGAUCGGACUAAUGGCUGCUGUUGUAGAAUAACAAAUGUUACUGCUGGAGCUUUACUAUUCUCCCAGAGCCCUGUGUCCCUCCACAUCUGUCCAUAUCCCCAAGUUGGACUUUGCAUCCUCAAAAUACUUCAGCAUCCACUUGAUUUUCAUCUUCUCCUAGGAGCCAAUUUCCUACCAGUCUUUCAAGAGACUCAAAUGUGACAUGUUCAUUAAAAUUUUGUACUCCGUUUUCAUGGACUCAUUUACUGUUCUCUCCUCAAGCUAUCAAGACAUAGCUUUGUUCCCACACCUAUACAGCACAUAUUAUAUUAUGUGAUGGUAUCUCAUGUUAUCUAUCUUUCCCAGGACAGUGAGUUCCCAAAGACAAGUACUUAGUUUUCAUCUUUGAAUUAUCCACAGUGUGAAGAAGAGACUGACAUAUAAUAGGCAUCCAAUAAAUGUUGGGUGAGUGGAUGAAAAAUCAGCUUAUAGGGCUGUAGAUAAUGUACUCAGCUCCAGCACAGUAGAGAUGAAUUAGAUAUUAAGGUUCUUAUCAGAGAAAGGCCAGUGCCAGCUGAGUAUCAGUUAUCUAAGUGCUCAAGGUUAGAAGCAUUAAGAAUUGAGGUUUGUUUUUCCCUCUAGAUUUUUUUGGGGGGUGCUAGACUGCUUCUGUCUGUCUGUCUGUCUCUCUGUCUGUCUUUAUUCAUUAAUCCUAUUUUACAGUCCAAACUUUAUCUCACUCCCAGUCCACUCUUCCAACUGUUCCACAUACCACACUUCUUCCCAUCUCCAAGAGGAUGUCCCUACCGACACCACCAGACCUCCCUACUCCCUGGGGCCACAAGUCGAACAUCUUGGUUAGGGCUUUGCUACUGUGAAGAGACACCGUGACCAAGCUAGACUGAUGGCCAGAAAGCCUUGUGGACUCUUCUGUCUCCACUCCCCAACCCUACAGUCCCAGGCAUGCACCAGAAAGCCUGGCGUUUAUUUGGUCUUAGGCAUCUAGAAUCAGGUCUUCAUGGUUAUGCAGAAAGAACUUCACUGACUGAGCCAUCUCCCUAGCUCUCUAAGAACCGUAACUACAACCCUGCAAUCAUCAGAACAGCCACCUCCCUAAGGGCCUACUCCCUCAUCACUACAUCACUAUACCAUUCUAUUAAAAGUUUCAAAUUAGAUGAAUCUCUGAACCUUUCUCCUCUUCACUGAGCUGUCUGUUCAAAGUCAAAUUGUGGCUUUGGAAGAAACACUGAAGGACAAGCAAUGCCACUCACAUGCAUUCAUGCAGUGGUUUCCAAACAUGCCUUGAGAUCAUCAUUCAUCAUCUCAAGGACCCUCCUCUCCAGGAAAAUGGUACCUACGCUUGAGGUGUCCUUUGUUCUUAGAAUGCAAUCUUUUUGUUGCAUCCCUGUUGACAUUGAAGAGGCUGAAAAUGUCUUAUAUACUGAUGAUAUGUCCAGUAUUUGGGAUGAAGAACAAUCUAAAGGAAGAAAUGGUAGUGUUUUCGACUGGCAUAAUGGAUAUGUCUCUGAAGUUGGAACUAGACAGUGUUGAAGGUGUUCUGGCUGAUGAUGAUAAGCUGAUUAAGAAAAGAGCUUAUAAAAAAACAAACAAAGCAAAAAAGAAAGGAGCCUAUGAGAAGAGUACAGAAAACCCUGUGGAUGGCUCAGUUGGCAAGGAGCUGUUGCGUUCCAUAGUAGUUGCCUCUGCUUAUGGCUCUAAUGGAAGCAGUUUACUUGACUCCAAGAUCCAGAGGCAAGUUGGCCUGAAAACCUCUGGAAAUAUUUCUUAAUUUCCUAUGUGGGAAUCUAUGCAGGCUGGUGUCAAAGAUGUGGACAGCUGGCUGCUGAUUGAUUGUGGUCAGUGUGAGGUGAUUAUUGGUGGCAGAUGGACCGGGAAAAUAUCAAUCACUACUGACAUAAUCACUAACCAGAAACAGUUGAGUGAUGGAGCUGACUAAAAAGAGAUGUACUGGACCUAUCUUGCUGUUGGCCAAAGUGAUCCACCAUGACCCAGUUGGUGCAGUGAGUUUAUGCCAUGGAGGGCACCACUGUGAUAUCAGCUAUGGCUGCUAGGGAUACUCUUCUGAACCUGAGUACUUGUCUGACUCUUCUAUGGAGACUAUUAAGUAGACAAAGGCAAGCAUGCUUUGAGCAUCUUCAAUGACUUUUCCAAAUAGACUGCUGCUUGUUAGAGGCCUUUGUUGCCCUGGCAACUCCCUAGAAGGGGAGCCUAUUUUGGUUGAUGUGUUGCUCUUUGCAAGAACAACCAAAAGGAAUGAUCCAUUUGGUGUUGACUCUUUAACAGCUUGUCAGUCUCAGAAACACAGAUUGGUAAUGUGCCUAUUUUCACUCCAACAAGCAUCAUUAUCAUCACUGAUGGACAGAUUAUAGAAACAGACGUAUUCUACCAAAGCAUCCGCCCUGCCAUUAUUAUUGGCUUGACUAUUUCUGCUAUCAGAUCAGCUGCUAAAAUCUGAGCUGUAAUAGUGAGAAGUAUCAUGAAGCUACAGUUUGGUUCUGAUCUUGAUGUUUGCCCCUCAACAACUCUUGAGUUAUUCUGCGUGCUUGAACAGUAGACUUUCAAGGCUAUUGAGAAAUAAGUGGCUGAUAGCUAUGUAACUAGAAGCAUCUUGGUAAGAUCACACAGUUAAAUAUGUUUUCUUGUCUUUUUCGUUAGCCAGUACCAAGCCCCAUAGGACAAAGCUGGGGAUCGGAGAAGAUCUCAGAAGAGCUGAAUGAAAAAUUCAGAAAAGACUCUGAUAUAUUUCUUGGCUGCAUUUGAAAUAUGAACUCCUAUGAAAUCACAUCAAACAGUGGCCUUGUUUCAUCAUUUGUUCACCAGUAAAAUUUGUUCCUUUGUAAAAGAAUUACUCCUAUGCUCCUGAUGUACAGAAAUAGUGUUAUGAAUAAAAGGUCCAAACUGAGUGGAUAAAAGCAGAGAGAAAGCCAAAUGAUUCUGAGGAAGACCCAUGUGUCCUAUGGGGAGGUAUCUUUGAGCUGAUGUGUUACUGACACAUAAGUCAUUAAAUAUGCCAAUGAAGUCAGCUGAAGAACUGCUAAAGAACAUUUGAUUUAUGAGCUGUGUAACAUUGCAGAUCAAUGCAAAGUGAAUGUCAUCUUAAAUAUUAUGGACAAAAUUGAAGUAAGAGCUCUGCUUAGUUUUUGGUCGACUUUACAUCAAUUGACAUUAUCCAUGAGCCUGGACUUUGAGUGCAUGCACAUGUAUACACACACACACAAACACACACACAUGCUCACACACAAACAGACAUUGGAUAUGUACUGUAAUCAGGAAAUAUAUGUUUCACCAGUAACACAUCAGGGGGAAAGUAGGUUUAAUUAAGCUUGAGCUGAUUUUGUUAUCUCUUCCCAGAUGAGCAUGGUCACUCUCAGUAAUGUCACACUGGUGAGUUAAUAUUGGGGAUAGUGGGAAGAGCAGUGACUUGAAAUUGGCCCUGACGGGAAAUGUACGCCUCAGAAUUGGGCAUCUGUUACAAAUCAAGGCCUUCUUUGUCUAUUUAUUAUCAAACACUGAACUUAAUUCAAAAUAAGGUAGUAUAUACUUGUCAUGUUCUAGGGAGAUAUUUAUGAAAUAGCAGCAAUGGGAACUGGAAGAUGGUUCAGUGUGUAAAGUGCUUGAUGCACAAGCAUGAGGACCUAAGCUCAGAUCCCUCGAAGCACAUAAAAACCACAUGCGAUGGCACGUGCCUAUAACCUUGAUGCUAGUAGAUGGAGAAAAGAAGAUCCUGGUGGGUUCUCUGGAAGGCCAAUCUAACCAAAAUGGAGAACUUCACAUUCACUGAGAAACCCUGCCUCAAAUCAAUGAAUUUGUAAAUAGGGGACAACACUAACAUCAACUUCUUACCUCCAAAAGCAAAUGUAUGCACAUAUGCAUGCGUACAAAUAUGAAUACACCCACACACAUAUGUAGCCUGCAUACAAAGUGAAAUCAAUUAUCUGAAAACAAAAGCAUGACAAAGAGAAAUGUUGAGCAAAAUGUGAUACAAUAAGCAUCCCCACCUCUGUUGGUAGCAUCAUAAAAUAAUACCUGAGGAGAUAACUCGGCAAUGUCUAUCAAAUUAAAGGCAUUUUUUUAUCCUAGGACAGCAAUUCUAUACCACUCAGAGAACCUUUCACCUACCUAUAUUUACUAGGAGUCAUAUAUAAGCUGUGACAACAGGGAACAACAUAAAUCUUGCGUGUGCUCAACUGGCCAGGAAGAAUGACGCUGCAACAGGAUCCUUCUGCACACGUUUAUUGGGAGAGCAUUGA